rnacentral:rRNA from 1 species
ACGAACGCUGGCGGCGUGCUUAACACAUGCAAGUCGAACGGAAAGGCCCUGCUUUUGUGGGGUGCUCGAGUGGCGAACGGGUGAGUAACACGUGAGUAACCUGCCCUUGACUUUGGGAUAACUUCAGGAAACUGGGGCUAAUACCGGAUAGGAGCUCCUGCUGCAUGGUGGGGGUUGGAAAGUUUCGGCGGUUGGGGAUGGAAUCGAGGCUUAUCCGCUUGUUGGUGGGGUAGUGGCUUACCAAGGCUUUGACGGGUAGCCGGCCUGAGAGGGUGACCGGGGACAAGGGGACUGAGAGAGGGCGCAGAAUGCAACGGGAGGCAGCAGUGGGGAAUAUUGCAGAAUGGGGGGAAGCCAGAUGCAGAAACGCCGCGUGCGGGAUGACGGGCUACGGGUGAAAAACAGAUUUCGAAUGAGACGAAGAGGGAGUGACGGUAAUGGGUAAAGAAGCACCGGCUAACUACGUG